AGAGCAGUGCCGCGUCUAGGUGAGCUCCUGCCGGCGCCCUGGGGGGCCCGGGUGCCUUGGCGCCUCUGGGGACAGAUGACGUCACCCCCACCUCCCCCACCAGCAGGGUCAGGAGGCACCAGGACCAAAGUCACCCCUCUUGGGACCCAGGCCCCUCCGGGCCCCGCCUGGGGUCUCCUGCUCGGGGGCGUUCCUCCUUCAGCAAUAAAGGCAUGAACCAGUGC